UCGGGUUGUUGUUGAGCUGAGAGCUCCGGUGCUAGAGCGUAGCCUUCAUUGCAAGCUUCGCAGCCCGAGGGAGAAGACGAGGAACGCAAUUUAUCAAAGUUUGAAACCUAUUUAUUUCAUUUUUACCUCGUGGUGAAGUUAUUUUUGGUUUUUCCACCUGUGUGGCCUGGAAAACAUUUUUUUCUUUACCAAACGGGACUUGGCCAUUGAGAUUGUGCCGAAAAAACUGACUCCCCAAUCCGGGAUCCAUGUGCGUGAAGAAAACAAGAUGGCGAGCCAACCCUGAACCUCUUGAAGUAGCAAAGGACCAAGCGCCCUCUGCUGGACACUUGACAACCCUUGUCAUCCUUUGGAACUGAAUGAUGUGGAACAGCAAGUCAACAAACUGGAUUAAAGGGACACAGAAGUACCGCUGAAAGAGCCAUUGUUCAAAAGCAACUCUUGACAGUGGAUGGUAAAAAGUGCCGUUUAAAAAAUGAGGACUGAUCUCAUGAGCCCAGACAUGGUGACAUAUUUACCAAUAUUUUGUAGAGAUAUUCAAAAUUAAUAAACCUGAUCUCUCAAGUUCACCCGUCUCUCCCAUGCAAAGUAAAAGAGAUAUAUAGUCAAUGCUUCCAUGAAGCAAUGAGACUUGAUGAUAGCUUCUCUGACAUGCAACAUCAGCAUCUGGUUUAUUAACACAUUUUUGGACGAGCAUCAAAACCUGUUACAGAUGCAAAUUUUAUGUUUAAAUCAACUAAAUGCAGCAUUAAACCAUGCUUGAUGGAUGUCUAGAAGUGUCGGACUAUUCUCCUAAAAAAGCAACUUAUAGAGUGACUUCUACCCCGGAGCAACUUAUACCCCGGAGCAACUUAUACUCCGGAGCGACUUAUACUCCAGAGCAACUUAUAUUCCAGGGCAAUUUAUACUCCAGAGCAAUUUAUACUCCUGGGCAACUUAUACUCCAGAGCAAUUUAUACUCCUGGGCAACUUAUACUCCAGGGCAACUAAUACUCCAGAGCGACUUAUACUCUGGAGCAACUUGUACUCUGGAGCAACUCAUACUCCUGAACAAUUUACACUAUGGAGCAGUUUAUACUCCAGAGCAACUUGUACUCCAGAGGAACUUAUACUGCAGUGCGACAUAUACUCCAGAGCAACUCAUACUCCGGAGCAACUUAUACUGCAGAGCGACUCAUACUCUGGAGUGACUUUUACUCUGGAGAGACUCAUACUCCAAAGCGACUUAUAUUCCUGAGCGACUUGAACUGCGGAGCGAUUUAUACUCCAGAGCGACUUAUACUCCUGAGCGAUUUAUACUCCAGAGCGACUUAUACUCCGGACCAAUUUAUAGUCCAGGGCAACUUAUACUGCAGAGCGACUAAUACUCAAGAACGAUUUAUACUCCUAAGUUACUCAUACUUCCAAACGACUUACAUUCUGGAGCGACUUGUACUUCAGAGCGACUUACACUCUGGAGCGACUUACACUCCAGAGCAACUUAAACUCUGCAGCAACUUAUACUGCAGAGCGACUCAUACUCCAGAGCGACUUAAACUCUGGAGCGACUCAUACUCCAGAGCGACUCAUACUCCAGAGCGACUUAAACUCUGGAGCGACUCAUACUCCAGAGCGACUCAUACUCCAGAGCGAAUUAAACUCUGGAGCAACUCAUACUUCAGAGCGACUUAAACUCUGGAGCGACUUAUACUCCGGAGCAAUUUGUACUCCGGAGCGACUUGUACUCCAGUGCAACUUAUAGCUCGACCUAUUCUCCGAAGCAACUUAUACUCCAGCGCAAUUUAUAGAGGGACUUAUAUUCCAGAGUGACUUAUACUACUGAGUGAUUUAUACUCCAGAGCUAUUUAUAGAGUGACUUAUAUUCCAGAUAAAUUUAUACUCUAGAGCAAUUUAUAGAGUGACUUAUACUCCAGAGGGACUUAUAGUCUAGAAUAUGUGGUAAAUGGUUUGUUUUUAUUAUUGAAAAUAAAAAAAUAAAGUUUUAUAAUUUAUUACUAAAAUCCUUAUAUUUAUAAAAGGAAGGAAAAUGAUGCAAGGCCAGCAUGGAUAUUUUUAAACUGCAAGAUACAUUUACAAAAAGUAGAGGAGAAAAAAAAUAAAAUAAAAUAAAACCAAGAGUGAUGAAAAAUACACUCAGUCAUUCACCAAAAGCUGAAAAACAGAAGGAUGUAGAAGGAGAGCUAACUGGGGAAAUGCAGCCCUUCCAGGAGUGUUGCUGCAACCUGACACCUCACUGCAGAUACAGUAUGCUGGAUGAAAAAAUACUGCACUGCUGUAAGGAGGAGGCUAUUUUCAAACUGCAGGGCACCUCCUGCCCCCUCUCCCCUCCCUCAUUCAGAGGAUAGUUUUCAUUGAUAGAGUCACUGGCGAGGAGUUCUCUGAUACUUUGAUUUUUGAAAUUCAGCAGUGUUAUUUAUUUGACUAAUAAUCAAUUCAGUGUAUUUUAUUAUAUAUCUGCUGGUUUUGAUAGAGCUAUGGUAACGAGGUAAUUUCCCCUUUUUAGACUCAAUAACAUUCUGUUCCAUUCUAUUCU